rnacentral:rRNA from 1 species
GAUGAACGCUGGCGGCGUGCCUAAUACAUGCAAGUCGAACGUGAUUUCCAUUUCGGUGGAAUGAAAGUGGCGCACGGGUGAGUAACACGUAGCUGACCUGCCCUCGAGUGGGGGACAACGGGUGGAAACGCCCGCUAAUACCGCAUACGCUCUCGCCAGCUAGACAAGCGAGAGGAAAGCUUUAGUGCUCGAGGAGGGGGCUGCGACCCAUCAGCUAGUUGGCAGGGUAAAAGCCUACCAAGGCGACGACGGGUAGGGGGCCUGAGAGGGUGACCCCCCACACUGGGACUGAGACACGGCCCAGACUCCUACGGGUGGCUG